GAGUUUGAUCAUGGCUCAGGAUGAACGCUAGCGACAGGCUUAACACAUGCAAGUCGAGGGGCAGCGGGGGUGAUGGCUUGCCAUCACCUGCCGGCGACCGGCGCACGGGUGAGUAACACGUAUGCAACCUGCCCGCCACAGGGGGAUAAGCGGAAGAAAUUCCGUCUAAUACCGCGUGACGCGGCGUCGGGGCAUCCCGGUGCCGCCAAAGGGAUUACCGGUGGCGGAUGGGCAUGCGGCGCAUUAGCUAGUCGGCGGGGUAACGGCCCACCGAGGCGACGAUGCGUAGGGGUUCUGAGAGGAAGGUCCCCACACUGGUACUGAGACACGGACCAGACUCCUACGGGAGGCAGCAGUGAGGAAUAUUGGUCAAUGGGCGCGAGCCUGAACCAGCCAAGUCGCGUGAGGGAUGACGGUCCUACGGAUUGUAAACCUCUUUUGCCGGGGAGCAAGCGUGCGUUCGUGAACGCGCGUCGAGAGUACCCGGAGAAAAAGCAUCGGCUAACUCCGUGCCAGCAGCCGCGGUAAUACGGAGGAUGCGAGCGUUAUCCGGAUUUAUUGGGUUUAAAGGGUGCGUAGGCGGGAUGCCAAGUCAGCGGUAAAAAUGCGGUGCUCAACGCCGUCGAGCCGUUGAAACUGGCAUUCUUGAGUGGGCGAGAAGUAUGCGGAAUGCGUGGUGUAGCGGUGAAAUGCAUAGAUAUCACGCAGAACUCCGAUUGCGAAGGCAGCAUACCGGCGCCCUACUGACGCUGAGGCACGAAAGCGUGGGUAUCGAACAGGAUUAGAUACCCUGGUAGUCCACGCAGUAAACGAUGAAUGCUAACUGUCCGGUGCGAGUGAGCGCUGGGCGGUACAGCGAAAGCGUUAAGCAUUCCACCUGGGGAGUACGCCGGCAACGGUGAAACUCAAAGGAAUUGACGGGGGCCCGCACAAGCGGAGGAACAUGUGGUUUAAUUCGAUGAUACGCGAGGAACCUUACCCGGGCUCAAACGCAGGAUGACGGGUCCCGAAAGGGGCCUUUCUUCGGACAUUCUGCGAGGUGCUGCAUGGUUGUCGUCAGCUCGUGCCGUGAGGUGUCGGCUUAAGUGCCAUAACGAGCGCAACCCCUGUCCACAGUUGCCAGCAGGUAAAGCUGGGGACUCUGUGGAGACUGCCGGCGCAAGCUGCGAGGAAGGCGGGGAUGACGUCAAAUCAGCACGGCCCUUACGUCCGGGGCGACACACGUGUUACAAUGGCAGGUACAGCGGGAUGCCACGGGGCGACCCGGCGCUGAACCCGAAAACCUGUCUCAGUUCGGAUUGGAGUCUGCAACCCGACUCCAUGAAGCUGGAUUCGCUAGUAAUCGCGCAUCAGCCACGGCGCGGUGAAUACGUUCCCGGGCCUUGUACACACCGCCCGUCAAGCCAUGGAAGCCGGGGGUACCUGAAGUGCGUGACCGCGAGGAGCGCCCUAGGGUAAAACCGGUGACUGGGGCUAAGUCGUAACAAGGUAUCC
rnacentral:rRNA from 1 species